UACGGAGGGAGCUAGCGUUGUUCGGAAUUACUGGGCGUAAAGCGCACGUAGGCGGCUUUGUAAGUUAGAGGUGAAAGCCCGGGGCUCAACUCCGGAACUGCCUUUAAGACUGCAUCGCUUGAAUCCAGGAGAGGUGAGUGGAAUUCCGAGUGUAGAGGUGAAAUUCGUAGAUAUUCGGAAGAACACCAGUGGCGAAGGCAGAUCUCUGGGCCUUACCUGACGCUGAGGAGCGAAAGCUAGGGGAGCAAACGGG
rnacentral:rRNA from 1 species